CUGCAGCCAAUUAAGCCGACCGUGUUGCCCUCCCCAUGGUGCCUGGUGUGCAGUGGCUGCAGACAGCAGCCUCCUGGGUAGUGUAUGCAGCCUGUUGCUUGUAUAGGCUGCCCUAAGGGACCCUGGAGACAGCC
rnacentral:snoRNA from 1 species